GAGUUUGAUCGUGGCUCAGAGCGAACGCUGGCGGCAGGCUUAACACAUGCAAGUCGAGCGGGCGUAGCAAUACGUCAGCGGCAGACGGGUGAGUAACACGUGGGAACGUACCUUUUGGUUCGGAACAACUGAGGGAAACUUCAGCUAAUACCGGAUAAGCCCUAACGGGGAAAGAUUUAUCGCCGAAAGAUCGGCCCGCGUCUGAUUAGCUAGUUGGUGAGGUAAUGGCUCACCAAGGCGACGAUCAGUAGCUGGUCUGAGAGGAUGAUCAGCCACACUGGGACUGAGACACGGCCCAGACUCCUACGGGAGGCAGCAGUGGGGAAUAUUGGACAAUGGGGCAACCCUGAUCCAGCCAUGCCGCGUGAGUGAUGAAGGCCCUAGGGUUGUAAAGCUCUUUUGUGCGGGAAGAUAAUGACGGUACCGCAAGAAUAAGCCCCGACUAACUUCGUGCCAGCAGCCGCCGCAGUAAG
rnacentral:rRNA from 1 species